CUGUCACCCAGGCUGGAGUGCUGUGGUGCAAUCAUAGCUCGCUGCAGCCCCGAACUCCUGGGCUCAAGUGAGCCUCUUUCUCUGGGCCACUCCCCUGGUCUUCUCCUUGCCACUUUUCAGGACUCAGUAGAAAGGUCACUUCCUCCAGUGCCAGCGUGUCUGUCCCAUCUCACCACUUCCUAUGGGGCUUUUAUCUUCGCUUGGACCUGUGAGUUCCCAGAGGCCAGCUUUGUGUGUCCUGCUCACUGCUGUACCGCCAAGUCCUGGGGUAGCCACUCUGCAAGGCUUCGGAACGUCCAAUCAAUGCAGUAAAUCCUGGAGAGGGGGAAGACACAGCGGUCCCCUUCCAAGGAGCUGGGACUACAGGCACCAUGAUGGAUCCUGGGAAUGAUGAUAAUGAACGCAAUAGAUACAGCCUCUAUUCUUAGACAUCUUGCAUGUAUCAGGGAAGACAGGCACCAAGGCAUACUUACAACCAAAGCAUUCCACGACCAUGUGAUCCAGGAGAAUUCCAGGGUCAAGAGCCAGGGUAUUGGAAGCCAACCUGUCUACAGGUGACCAACACUGAACUUACUUUGGGAAACACUGUUCUAGGGAUAAACUAAACAGGCCUCAAGAAUGUGACCUCCCACGCUCCUCCAUGAACAGCUCUCUCCCUGCGUCCCAGCAACCAAAGACACUUGUUGAUUUGGGAAAAACCCAGAGGAAGGAUUCUGUCUGGAUUUUCUGGUACCACUGACGCAUUUUCACCCAGGCACAUUCAUCUGGUUCAAGACUGAAUCUUUCCCUUUUUCAUGAAACAGAUUCUCCCCCUCUUUUAAGCCUCUGUGGGCUCCAGAAUGAGUUGAACCGCUGUAUCUUCUCAUCACAGCGUUUCCCUCUUUGGACAUGGGCUGAGACACACAGAUUUCACGACUUCCUCUUUGGAGAAGGCAUGAAAGGACCUGCAGCCACGGCCCCAUACGUUUCAAGAGAGGCAAGGCUUUCACCCUCCGUGUCUUUCACAGCCAUCCGCCCACAGCCUCUUAACUUCCUGACAUUAAACAAAAACGAAACCGAGGUUUCCCUAAUUGGGGAUCAUCAUCAAGAAUCUGUCAUGGGGUCUCUUAGAAAUUAAUUCAACUCGAUUGUUCUUCAGACCUCCGCUAAGGAGCCGGCGUGUUACUCUCGACACCAACUUGUCCCAUCUUCAUCCUAUAUUAGCUCCCUAACAGGGUUGCACGAUCAGCUCCUAGGCUGCAAAUUAGAAAAAUGGGCGAUGAUUCCAGCAGCUACGCCUCGGCACUCUCACGCCGGAUUACUGUGAUGGUCUCCUUGCAAGGCUUCCGGAUCUUUCUAUGUGGGUUGAAAUUGGUUCCAACUGUAACUUCCUGUUGAUCUCCCACCCUGAAUUCCCUCAUUGAUGCAACAUUUUGUUAAAAAAGAACUUCACCGAAUUACCCAUUUCAUGGAAAUUGCAAUAGGGUAUUGACUUGUAUAGUUAAUGAAGCUUUCAAAAAAGCACUCCUGUAGCCAUCAUCUAAAUGCCCCUCUGGCCACCAAAACUGUGCAUGUAAUUCACUGUAGUGAGGAUUCCUGAGUCUCCCUAAGGGAGAUCCAGUAGGAUCAGUUCUGGGUGGGAUCCGUCAGCAAACACAACCUAUUGCCCGCCUCCUUCUGGUUUCCAGUCCCGGGGGGUAAUUGAUGUCUUAGUGCACACAGAGCCGGACCAUGGAGCUAAGUAGAUAUGGGUUUCCAACUCAUCCCGGCCACUUCCCAGGGGCAUGUCCAGGGGCAAGUUAGUAACUCUCUUGAACCUCAGUUUCCUCAUCUGCAGAGUGUGGAUCAUCACAAACCUACCUUCUGGGGUUGCUAGGGGAUUAAAGGAGAUAAGGAGCAUAGCAGGGCUGGCCCUGUGCCUGCCUGGAGUGGGCACCAAGCUGACUUCGCUGGGGCUCUCCCGGCCCCACAUACCUGCAAUGGUUUUGCCUUUGGCUCGAUGUCUGAAGCCUUUGCAUUUCUGAAGGGAGUGAUGUAAAUCAAGCCAUGCUUAUGAUUAAAAACAUCCAACGUUCAGCUCAGUUGUUUGUCCUAUUUUGGCAACAUCCUAUUCUUUUGUUGUUGCUGUUUUUGAGAUAGGAUCUUGCUCUGGGGCCCAGACUGGAGUGCAGU
rnacentral:lncRNA from 1 species